GCCGCGAUGGGGUAGCCUGGUUAUCCUCCUGGACUGUGGAUCCGGUGACGUGAGUUCAAAUCUCGCUCGCGGCC
rnacentral:tRNA from 1 species